GCCUAGAUAGCUCAGUUGGUUAGAGUGUGGUGCUGAUAACGCCAAGGUUGCAGGUUCGAUCCCCGUAUGGGGCA